UAGCGGAAACGAGUUAUCUGAACCUUCGGGGAACGAUAACGGCGUCGAGCGGCGGACGGGUGAGUAAUGCCUGGGAAAUUGCCCUGAUGUGGGGGAUAACUAUUGGAAACGAUAGCUAAUACCGCAUAAUGUCUACGGACCAAAGAGGGGGACCUUCGGGCCUCUCGCUUCAGGAUAUGCCCAGGUGGGAUUAGCUAGUUGGUGAGGUAAUGGCUCACCAAGGCGACGAUCCCUAGCUGGUCUGAGAGGAUGAUCAGCCACACUGGAACUGAGACACGGUCCAGACUCCUACGGGAGGCAGCAGUGGGGAAUAUUGCACAAUGGGCGCAAGCCUGAUGCAGCCAUGCCGCGUGUAUGAAGAAGGCCUUCGGGUUGUAAAGUACUUUCAGUCGU
rnacentral:rRNA from 1 species